UUUUGAGGGGGGAGUUUGAUUUUUUGUCAUUUCUAAUUUUUAUCGAUAUCUUAUUAUCGUAAGCAUGCUGAUUAGAAGAAAAUUGGACAAGUGUCGUCUGCUCUCGUUUAGUUGAAAAUUUCGAGAAGACAAAGUUUAGAGAAAGCAUGGUUCAAGAGUUAUAUUCUUAUUUAAAAUUCAUUUGUUUUUGAUAAUCAUCAUAAUCCAUGCUGUUUAGCGGAUUUGAGGCCAGAGGCAACCAUCAUAGCCACACAAUGUGCAAGUUUUUCUUGUGCAGGUGAUAACCUGUCAUCAGCAACAAUCUCAGGAUCAUCGCUUGGGUAUUGAUUUCCUUUUCUUUUAUUGACCUGUGACCUGCUAGAUAUUUUAAUGCUGCAUUACCUGCAUCAGUGCAGUGUAUUACAUGUAAAUCUUUAAUUCUCCCAUUUAUUAACAAUUUGGGUUUACCCAGUGUCUCAUUUUCGACUUUUCCUGAGUUGUUGUUUUGGUUAAUAUUUAUUUGUAACCCAUUUUUUAUUUUUUUUUUUAGAUAAAAGGCAUGCCAUUAGCAUUGGAAUGCAAUCGAAUGUGGGUGUAUUCACGAGGACACCCUUUUUACCCUAUCCCGUCUGCUGGUGUAAUUUAUCACUCUUCAACGAAUGGACGGAGCAACUGUAGAUGCCUGGCCCUGGCUGUAUUUCCCAGGCAUAAAGGUUAAGGCUACAUAGUCGUGUUGUUGCUACAGACAAGGAAAUCGAAUUGGAAUCUAAGUGCAUCCAACAUCUUCUGGUGGAUAUCCGUCAGCCAGGCAACAUACGUCUAUAUCAAAGCCACAAAAGGAACGAACCAAAAUAAAGGCAUUUAGCACACAUAUGCAGACAUUGUACUGCUGUAUAGAACCAAGUAAUAAAAGACACAGAAUUUACUGCUGGUUACUAGGAUAUGGUUAACACCAGUAUCACAACAAGAUACAAUAAAAAAAAUCCCAAAAAACUGAAAAACAAUCCAGACCGCAAUUUCUAGGAAACGGAUACGCAAUUGUUUUACCAAAAUGCGCCAUGCAUCAACAAAUGCACGGCGAGAGGUGAAAUAGAUAU